rnacentral:rRNA from 1 species
UGGCGGCGUGCCUAAUACAUGCAAGUCGAACGAACUCUGGUAUUGAUUGGUGCUUGCAUCAUGAUUUACAUUUGAGUGAGUGGCGAACUGGUGAGUAACACGUGGGAAACCUGCCCAGAAGCGGGGGAUAACACCUGGAAACAGAUGCUAAUACCGCAUAACAACUUGGACCGCAUGGUCCGAGUUUGAAAGAUGGCUUCGGCUAUCACUUUUGGAUGGUCCCGCGGCGUAUUAGCUAGAUGGUGGGGUAACGGCUCACCAUGGCAAUGAUACGUAGCCGACCUGAGAGGGUAAUCGGCCACAUUGGGACUGAGACACGGCCCAAACUCCUACGGGAGGCAGCAGUAGGGAAUCUUCCACAAUGGACGAAAGUCUGAUGGAGCAACGCCGCGUGAGUGAAGAAGGGUUUCGGCUCGUAAAACUCUGUUGUUAAAGAAGAACAUAUCUGAGAGUAACUGUUCAGGUAUUGACGGUAUUUAACCAGAAAGCCACGGCUAACUACGUGCCAGCAGCCGCGGUAAUACGUAGGUGGCAAGCGUUGUCCGGAUUUAUUGGGCGUAAAGCGAGCGCAGGCGGUUUUUUAAGUCUGAUGUGAAAGCCUUCGGCUCAACCGAAGAAGUGCAUCGGAAACUGGGAAACUUGAGUGCAGAAGAGGACAGUGGAACUCCAUGUGUAGCGGUGAAAUGCGUAGAUAUAUGGAAGAACACCAGUGGCGAAGGCGGCUGUCUGGUCUGUAACUGACGCUGAGGCUCGAAAGUAUGGGUAGCAAACAGGAUUAGAUACCCUGGUAGUCCAUACCGUAAACGAUGAAUGCUAAGUGUUGGAGGGUUUCCGCCCUUCAGUGCUGCAGCUAACGCAUUAAGCAUUCCGCCUGGGGAGUACGGCCGCAAGGCUGAAACUCAAAGGAAUUGACGGGGGCCCGCACAAGCGGUGGAGCAUGUGGUUUAAUUCGAAGCUACGCGAAGAACCUUACCAGGUCUUGACAUACUAUGCAAAUCUAAGAGAUUAGACGUUCCCUUCGGGGACAUGGAUACAGGUGGUGCAUGGUUGUCGUCAGCUCGUGUCGUGAGAUGUUGGGUUAAGUCCCGCAACGAGCGCAACCCUUAUUAUCAGUUGCCAGCAUUAAGUUGGGCACUCUGGUGAGACUGCCGGUGACAAACCGGAGGAAGGUGGGGAUGACGUCAAAUCAUCAUGCCCCUUAUGACCUGGGCUACACACGUGCUACAAUGGAUGGUACAACGAGUUGCGAACUCGCGAGAGUAAGCUAAUCUCUUAAAGCCAUUCUCAGUUCGGAUUGUAGGCUGCAACUCGCCUACAUGAAGUCGGAAUCGCUAGUAAUCGCGGAUCAGCAUGCCGCGGUGAAUACGUUCCCGGGCCUUGUACACACCGCCCGUCACACCAUGAGAGUUUGUAACACCCAAAGUCGGUGGGGUAACCUUUUAGGAACCAGCCGCCUAAGGUGGGACAGAUGAUUAGGG